AAAUCAGAGAGAAUCAUCCAAGUUUGAGCUCUGUCAAUGGGACAGUCCUGGGCAGGAGACUGGGGAGAAGAGGCGGCUUGCUGGUUUUCCUGAACCACUUCCACCCUGAAAGACUCCUUGCAUACAAUCAUCAGAGAAGAACCGUGGGAACCAAGAACCAUGAGCAGGAGAACCAUGAGCAGUAAGCACCUACAGGGACUGUGGAAAUGGGAGAGACACUUGGACAGAAAAGCAGCUGAAGAUGGGAUGAGAAAGCAGACAAAGGAGGGAAGUGCUUCUGAACAGAGUGCCAGUCUAUGGUGCCCAGAGCUAAAUCCUCAACUUUCAAAUCUGUGAAGACUGGAGAUUCUUAAUAUUUGAUGAUCUGGUUUAUCUGCACAUAUAACUAGCAUUAUGUUACCCUCACAUUAAGUUAUAUUCUUAGUUUCAGUUUUCCAAGAAAUGCUGCUUGAAACUACAAACAUCGUUUAAGUAUUUUUGAGCUAAAUGUAUUCUCUUUUUAAUACUCUUGCUUUAGUUUCUCUUUUUGUUUAAUUUUUUAUGGCUGGAAGAGUAUAAUUAAUUCAACAUGGUUGCUUAGAGAGACAUUUUCCAGGCCCC
rnacentral:lncRNA from 1 species